rnacentral:rRNA from 1 species
UGAACGCUAGCUACAGGCUUAACACAUGCAAGUCGAGGGGCAGCAUCAUCAAAGCUUGCUUUGAUGGAUGGCGACCGGCGCACGGGUGAGUAACACGUAUCCAACCUGCCGACAACACUGGGAUAGCCUUUCGAAAGAAAGAUUAAUACCGGAUGGCAUAGUUUUCCCGCAUGGGAUAAUUAUUAAAGAAUUUCGGUUGUCGAUGGGGAUGCGUUCCAUUAGGCAGUUGGCGGGGUAACGGCCCACCAAACCAACGAUGGAUAGGGGUUCUGAGAGGAAGGUCCCCCACAUUGGAACUGAGACACGGUCCAAACUCCUACGGGAGGCAGCAGUGAGGAAUAUUGGUCAAUGGACGAGAGUCUGAACCAGCCAAGUAGCGUGAAGGAUGACUGCCCUAUGGGUUGUAAACUUCUUUUAUACGGGAAUAAAGUGAGCCACGUGUGGCUUUUUGUAUGUACCGUAUGAAUAAGGAUCGGCUAACUCCGUGCCAGCAGCCGCGGUAAUACGGAGGAUCCGAGCGUUAUCCGGAUUUAUUGGGUUUAAAGGGAGCGUAAGCGGGUUGUUAAGUCAGUUGUGAAAGUUUGCGGCUCAACCGUAAAAUUGCAGUUGAUACUGGCGACCUUGAGUGCAACAGAGGUAGGCGGAAUUCGUGGUGUAGCGGUGAAAUGCUUAGAUAUCACGAAGAACUCCGAUUGCGAAGGCAGCUUACUGGAUUGUAACUGACGCUGAUGCUCGAAAGUGUGGGUAUCAAACAGGAUUAGAUACCCUGGUAGUCCACACAGUAAACGAUGAAUACUCGCUGUUGGCGAUAUACGGUCAGCGGCCAAGCGAAAGCAUUAAGUAUUCCACCUGGGGAGUACGCCGGCAACGGUGAAACUCAAAGGAAUUGACGGGGGCCCGCACAAGCGGAGGAACAUGUGGUUUAAUUCGAUGAUACGCGAGGAACCUUACCCGGGCUUAAAUUGCAACUGACGGAACCGGAAACGGUUCCUUCUUCGGACAGUUGUGAAGGUGCUGCAUGGUUGUCGUCAGCUCGUGCCGUGAGGUGUCGGCUUAAGUGCCAUAACGAGCGCAACCCUUACGGGUAGUUACCAUCAGGUUAUGCUGGGGACUCUACCCGGACUGCCGUCGUAAGAUGUGAGGAAGGUGGGGAUGACGUCAAAUCAGCACGGCCCUUACGUCCGGGGCUACACACGGGUUACAAUGGGGGGUACAGAAGGCAGCUACACGGCGACGUGGUGCUAAUCCCGAAAGCCUCUCUCAGUUCGGAUUGGAGUCUGCAACCCGACUCCAUGAAGCUGGAUUCGCUAGUAAUCGCGCAUCAGCCACGGCGCGGUGAAUACGUUCCCGGGCCUUGUACACACCGCCCGUCAAGCCAUGAAAGCCGGGGGUACCUGAAGUACGUAACCGCGAGGAGCGUCCUAGGGUAAAACUGGUGAUAGG